AGGUGUCAUGUCAUGUUCAUUUUCGGACCCGUAUUCAGUGGUUUCUCGGUGUAACGUCAUAAAAAGUCCGAACUCUGUCAGAAGUUGAUUUAAUUUAUAAUUCAGCAAUACAAAAUUAAUUAACAUUAAUAUUAAAAGUCAUUUAAAUAUGUUAUCGUCAAAAAACCCGACCCUCCCGUCCCUUUUUGGUGGGGGCCGUAGGGGUAAGGCGGCAGGUGGGGGCUCCGGAUAUCACUGUAGGCUGGGAUGUCUGCGUGUGCGUCGGCGGUGCAGUGCAGCUUUAACCGGUCCAUCAUGCCUUGCGGUGUCCCACUUGUGUUCAGACGUAAUUUACAGCAGCAGCAGCAGCAGCAGUAGAAUCCGAAUCUCUGCCUCUGUGUGAGUGUGUUUGCUCUCACUUCAGUCACAGCAGCAGCAGCAGUAGCAGCAGUGUUGUUAUUAUUGGAUGUCCCGUGACUGGACAGACUGUUUACAUCCACAGCGUUUACCGCUGCAGACGCGAAACGGGGCUCGGAAACAGGACCUGGACCUGCCGGUACUGGGCCGCAUGACAAGCACCGGAACCAAGUGCUGGGUUUUGAUUCCGAGAGAGAAAUAAGUGAAGAUACAGACAACAAGCAGAGGAGACCGGGCCAUGCUGUGACUCUGCAGUCAUACAUACAGAAUGAAGUUUACCUACCAUUAGCACCCUCUUGUGGUGUGGAGGAAUGAGGGCCUUUGGAUGAAGGCCAUGGAGCUAAAAGUGUGGGUGGAUGGAGUGCAGCGCAUUGUGUGUGGGGUCACAGAGUUCACCACAUGCCAGGAAGUGGUCAUCGCUUUGGCGCAAGCCAUUGGUCGAACUGGCAGAUACACGUUGAUCGAGAAGUGGCGGGAUACCGAGCGACACCUCGCGCCAAAUGAAAACCCUGUGGUGUCCCUCAACAAGUGGGGUCAGUACGCCAGCGACGUGCAGCUCAUCCUCCAAAGAACAGGGCCGUCGAUCAGCGAGCGGCCCACCUCUGAUGUCCAAGGUCGCAUCCCAGAGCGAGGCUUCUACCGGCAGAGCUUACCUCCUCUGGCUAAAUUCCGACAGUCGGUGGCCGACCACUCGCUGAGACGACGGGAACCCAAGCGCAAGUCUCUGACCUUUUCUGGAGGGGCCAAGAGUCUGAGGGAAAUAUUUGGCAGACACAGAGAUUCUGGAGCCAAACAGUCCCAGUCGCGCAGCGUGAGCCUGAACUUGAGCAGAGUUGGAGCUGGUGGAGUAGCAUCUGUGCCUGGGAGUCCGGCCAGAGAGCUGAGCCGACUGGUGCAGCUACAGAGAGACAAACUCCAGGCUCUGGAGAGCCGUCUGCUGGGCUGUGAGGCUGAGCUGGGAGACUGGGAGGAGGCUGCUUUCGACGCCAUUGAGAGAGAGAAGUUGGAGGAGGAGCUGCUGCUGCUGGAGCAGCAGGUGAGGAGGAACGACGCUGAGGUGGAGGAAGAGGAGUUCUGGCAGAACGAGCUUCAGAUUGAGCUGGAGAGCGAGCAACAACUGCGGCUGCAGUUGGCUGAACUGCAGGGUCGCGUUCGUGACUGCGAGGCUGAGCUUUUAGACUAUUUGACGCGAAUACAGAGCAUGGAAACUGGUCUGGAGCAGGAGCAGCUUCACCUGGAGGCCGAGCUCAACCAGAGGGUCAGCGAAGAAGAGGCCCAUUCCCAGUUGGAGAAAGUGAAGGCAGAGCUGGAAAUGCAGAGCCAACAAACGUCACAGCUGGAGAGCAGCUGCAGGGCGUUGGAACGCUCUCUCAACCAGUCAGGCAAGAGAUUACAGGAGAAAGAGCAGGAGCUGGAGCAGCUGACGAAGGAGCUGCGACAGGUCAACCUGCAGCAGUUCAUCCAGCGGACCGGCACCAAAGUCACUGUGCUGCCUUCACAGCCCACCACAGAGGACGUCAGUGAAGUAGACCCCGACUCUGUGAGGAGACAAGCCUCGCCCCGCCUCCUCCCCACUGACCUCCGCAAUCUGCAAAGCACCACCUCCUCCACCUUUAACCCCGAGGGAAUCUACGUUUGAUCUGAGAGAAGUUGUUGUCACAGUCACCUCACGUUGUUUUUACCAUAACGUUAAAAAAAACAGACCCUUUAUUUGAACUAAGAACCUCCUCCACUGAUGUCACCACUUUGGAAAUUGUUGAGAAAAACGGCAGCGGACGACGAGUGGGGUCAUGGUUUAAAAAAAGAAAAAGGUUUGAUCUAUUUUGCACUGCCUUUAUCCUUUAUCAUCCCUCUGGACUGAUUUUCUGAGUGAUGUCAGCAUCCAUCUGCGAACGAACAUUAAACCUAACGACUGUCGUCAAAUGAAUGAACAAGUGACGGAACGGAACCCAAACCAGCAGACCUGUUGUCAGCAGCUGCAGCGGCUGAAGACGCCACAGCAGAGCGAAUUCUAUCGUUGUACACAUCCCGGACGGAAGUGAACAUAUGCAUAGACGGAGAGAAUCAUGCAUGAGCAUGUGACGUCACACGUGUGCUAUCACCAUAGCCAUAUCUGAUUGCCUUACUCUGCAUCAACCUACAACUUGGACCAGACAAUUUUGGCCCAAAGAGACCGAGCCGACCCAGACUUAAGAACCAACUCAGCCCAACUCCAAACAGAGUGGAUCCUUUUGUGACCCAAUGUUGGGCCAAAACAACUAAUUUGACCCAAACUUUAGGACAUAAAAUGACCAACAGAUUUUUUCAAACUUGUAACAAGGCUAGCCUCAUUUACCCAGGCUCUGGGCCAGAAGUGGAACAAUUUAUAGGCAUAGGUCCAAUAACCCUGUAAAGUUGUCCCUGAUUUGGGCUAAUGUUGGACCAAAAGGUCAACUUUGGGACUAACACAACCCAGAAACAACAAUUUGUUCCCAUUACAGUGACAUAAAAUAUCCCACAUGUGGUACAGCCCAGACUGGUAUGGGCCACAAAUGGACCUCGGUUCAUGACAUGGUGUCUUAUCAUGUGGGAUGGAUACGUGGGAGUGUUCUCUAAGGGUCUGGGUGCAGGGAGAUAUUUUUGAAUUUCGACUUUUGUCCUAACAAUUUGCUUGAACCUGCGACCCAACAGUUUGGUCCAUUUCUUAUAUACGGUGCAGGAAACUGUUGGGUAACUUUUUGAGUUUUAAACACAAUCUUUUCUAUGUGUUUGAUUUCACCUGGAUAUUUAUUUUUUUUACCAUUUCCUGGCUGAGAAACCUCCUGAGUGACUCCGUCAUGUCGGUAGAUCUCUGAGUUCUGACGUACAGGACGUGUUCCACGGAAGCAUGUGUUGCAGGGGAAUUGUUGAGAGCCGUGGCUCCGUUGUUUGCAUUGAUGUAACUGUAGAAAUUCACACUUCCCUUUCACAUGAAUAGCAUGCCUUACUGAGAAGAAGAAGAAAAAAAAACCCUGCUCUAAUAUCUACAUAUCUACAUACCACACCAGUCUGUAGGGUAUUUUUAAGUAGCCUAAAGUGUGAAAUAGCUGUGAGUGUGAGAGUUAGAUUCCUGCUCUACGUGUUUGUCUGGACUCUUAAUCACUGGCUUUUCACGGACGUGAUAAUUCAUCUGAGAUUUAUCGGGUUUAUGUUUAGCCUUGGCCUUUUAGCCCUGGUGACAUUUACGCUGAUGGAAAUAUUGUUUAAAGAGCAGCUCAGUGUAAACAAUCAGAAAAAAACAAGCCAGACCUUCACAUUAUUUCCCCGUAAACAAAAAGAUAUAUUUUUAAAUUUUAAAUCCACUCCUGUUGUUACGGACCGUGACAACAGACAUUUAGCCAAUGGCUGUCUCCAGGCUCUGUCAUCAGUCGUUCAAUAACGGAGCACACGACUGACAGGAUGAUGGAGCCAUUAUGGAAGCAGCCAUCAAGUGGCUUUGAAAGCUCCACCAGAAAAU